UACGAAGGGUGCAAGCGUUAAUCGGAAUUACUGGGCGUAAAGGGUGCGUAGGCGGUUCGUUAAGUCUGUUGUGAAAUCCCCGGGCUCAACCUGGGAAUGGCAAUGGAUACUGGCGGGCUAGAGUGUGUCAGAGGAUGGUUGAAUUCCCGGUGUAGCGGUGAAAUGCGUAGAGAUCGGGAGGAACAUCAGUGGCGAAGGCGGCCAUCUGGGACAACACUGACGCUGAAGCACGAAAGCGUGGGGAGCAAACAGG
rnacentral:rRNA from 1 species